GUAGCCUAGUGGUUAGAGCGUCCGCCUCAGAUGCGGGAGUUAGCGGUUUAGAAUCCCGGUCGAGUCA